rnacentral:rRNA from 1 species
GAUGAACGCUGACAGAAUGCUUAACACAUGCAAGUCUUUGGUGAAGCUGUGCUUGCACAGCCUAGCCAAGGCGGACGGGUGAGUAACGCGUAAGGAACUUGCCCUGCAGUCAGGGAUAACAGACGGAAACGACUGAUAAGACCUGGUAAAGUCAGGCGGACUCAUGUCCAGCCUGAUGAAAAGAGAUGCUGCAGGAGAGCCUUGCGUCAUAUUAGCUUGUUGGUGGGGUAACGGCCCACCAAGGCAAUGAUAGGUAGCCGGCCUGAGAGGGUGGACGGCCACAAGGGGACUGAGAUACGGCACUUACUCCUACGGGAGGCAGCAGUGGGGAAUAUUGGACAAUGGGGGCAAGCCUGAUCCAGCAAUUCUGUGUGCACGAUGAAGGUUUUCGGAUUGUAAAGUGCUUUCAGCAGGGAAGAAAAAAAUGACGGUACCUGCAGAAGAAGCGACGGCUAAAUACGUG